UACGUAGGGUGCAAGCGUUGUCCGGAAUUAUUGGGCGUAAAGAGCUCGUAGGCGGUUUGUCGCGUCGAAUGUGAAAUCCCGGGGCUCAACCCCGGGUCUGCAUUCGAUACGGGCAGACUAGAGUUCGGUAGGGGAGUCUGGAAUUCCUGGUGUAGCGGUGAAAUGCGCAGAUAUCAGGAGGAACACCGGUGGCGAAGGCGGGACUCUGGGCCGGUACUGACGCUGAGACGCGAAAGCGUGGGGAGCAAACAGG
rnacentral:rRNA from 1 species